CACAAACAGACACACAUGCACACACACAGUUUCAUUAUGAAGUUUUCAAAUUCUACUAGAAAAAAAUUAUUUUUUGUUUUUUUCAGUUGUUAAGUGUUUGCCAGUGACAGAACCAGAGAACGGGAGAAUUAUCAGUAGUGCGACAGAACCAGAUGAGGAAUAUUAUUUUGGACAAGCAGUGCAGUUUGAGUGUAAUUCAGGCUUCAAACUUGAAGGACAGAAAGAAAUAUAUUGUUCAGAACAUGGUCAUUGGAGUAAUGAAAAACCAAGAUGUAUGGGUAAGAUGUGUUUAACUGCUUGCUUGAUUGUUCUUAGUUUUUCUUAUGAAAAUACAUAUUUGAAAACAUUGUACAUAAUAAUGAAUAUAAGUAAUUCUUAAAAAUCGAAUGUUUAUUAAGCAUGUACAAUAUCCCUGUAGUUGAUCUUAGUUUUCUAUAUAAGUUAUUUUAUUUUCUACCUACAAAACAGUUUUAUGAUUUAUGUACUAGUAUCAUCUCUAUAAUUGAAGAAAUUUGGGUGCAAAAUUGUUUUAGUCAGCUUCUUGGUUGCUUGAUCAAAAAAACUAACAAGAACAAUUUGAGGAGGAAAAGUUUGAGGUCUCUCAGGUUCAGAGGUCUCAGUCCAUGGAUAGCCAGCUCCAUUCCCUGGGGCUCAAGGGACAUGAUGGGGAAAUAAUGAAGUGAUGGAAAGUAGCUCAGGACAUGAUGAUCAGGAAUGAGAAAAAGAGAGAGAGAGAGAGAGAGAGAGAGAGAGAGAGAGAGAGAGAGAUACUCUCCUCACAACAUACAAAAUGCAUACCCCAAAGGUACACCCUCAGUGACCUACCUCUUCCAGCCACACCCUACCUACUUUCAGUUACCACUCAGUCAAUUUCUAUCAGAGGAUUAAUGCACUGAUAGGGUUAAGGUUCUCAUAACCCAAUCAUUUCACCUCUAAAUCUUCUUGCAUUGUCUCACACAUGAGCUUUCGGGUGUUACUUCACAUGUAAACCACAACAAAAAUCAAAUCAUGCAGCCUAGAUUACCGUAGCAUAGGGAGUCUAGAUUUAAGCCUAGGUUAUCGUCUGACAUCAAAUUCAUGCGCUAACUAUAAACAUAUUGUUGUUGGCUCUUUUUUCAGGGUGGUGGGUACCAGGGAUUGAACUCAGGGGCACUCAAUCAUUGAGCCAUAUCACUCACCCUUUUUUGUAUUUAUUUAGAGACAGGGUCUCAUUGAGUUGCUUAGUGUCUUGCUGUUCCUGAAGCUGGCUUUGAACUGGAAAUUCUGCCUCAGCCUAUGCUGCUGGGAUUACAGCGUGUAACACCACUCCUGGCUGUAGUUGGCUCUUACAGGUUGAAAGAGAAUGCUCACCCUUUCUGGGCUGAUCUCCAGAAAAGUCUAUUCUUAAUUCUGGAUGCCAAACAUUUAUUAUUUGUUUCCACUGAUGCAUCAUGAUAGCAUUAUAUGUUUGAAUAACUCAUCUUUGAUAACUUAUUUCUAAGAAAUGAUCUUCUUUCAUAUUUGUACUGAAAGUUAAGUAUAAACUGCUGAACAUAGUUGAAUCCACCAAAUAAAUGAUUUUCUUUUAGAAAAAUUUCUAAGUCAAUUUUACAUGAUUUCUUCUAUUUAUUUUGUCACGAUAUAGCUGAUUUGUAUAUCUUGAUUCAUCAAUGAUUUUGGCUUUUAAGUUAAACAUUAUGGCCAAUUAGUUUAAUAGUACCAUACUUCAUUUAACCUAUUUUUUUGGGAAGAAGUUCCUGCCAUAUUUAUUUGUUAUCUAAAAUCUCUGAUUUAUUCACAUUUUUUAUCUAGUCUACCUUACAGUAAGUAAGUAAAUAAAUAAAUAAAUUCUUAAAUAUUCUAACAGAAAUAGUUCUCUGUGAUAAUAAUGUUAAGUUAAAUACUUUAGAGGUUCAUAUAUGGGAUUUCUAUGAUCACAGCUAGAUGUCAUGACUAGCAGAACCUUCCUGGAAUUGCAGAUGCUUAAGGAAAGUCUUACAGGAAGAGAGGGCUGUUUUUAGGUGACCAUGAAGAAGGCAAAAGCAUGCCAGUCCCAGGAAGGUCAGAAGAGGAACAUAGAAAGGCAGUGAGGCUUCAAUAAGUGUGAAGUCCUAUUGUUCCUUGUCCACUGUCCACAGGGGCCUCCCAUAGGAAGGUGAUAAGUCAGUGAUGAACUGAAGAUAGGCCAGUACAAGGUACUGAAAAGCUAAUGCACCAUUCUUAAGAACUUAGCUUUAAUGCAGACUGAUUUUGGAACUGGUGAAGGAUUUCAAGUGGAGGAAUUAAAUGACCAUUUGGAAGUUUUUGUAGUUAAACCCAAGAAAAACAGAUUAGGAAGAUGGAAGAAGAGGAUUUGGGAAAACAGUUAUCAUUGUCACUAUCUCAGAGAAAAGUGUUUGAGAGAAGUGGUGUCAAAGAUGAUGGGCAGUUUUCUGUUGUUAUUAUUUGUGUGUUUGUUUUAUUGUGAUUUUGUUUUUGACAGAAAACCUGUAUAGAUGGUGAAGACACAAAAGCAGAACUCAGUUACUUUUCAAAGAUGUAAUGAAAAAUGAGUUGAAUAAGUUUCCUUGAAAAAGAUUCUGUUGAAUAAGUACUCUAAUCAAUAACGAGAAAAUGUUUUAUUUUUACAGGUCACUUGGAGAAAACACUUAUCACAGUAAAUCUAUAUUCAAUAUCACAUGUACAUUUGGUGAAUAUUACUAUUAAUUACUGCCAAAGGACUAAUUUACCCAUAAACUAAAGUUGAAACAGAAUUUUACUCAGAAUUUUAGCUUCUGGCAAAAAUGAAGAGCAACAGAUGAUAACUACUAAUGUUAAGAAUAACAGAUAAAUCAGACAGUCAAGCCAAAAGAGAACUUUUGUUUGGUUGGCUGAUUUACCUAAUGGAAACAAAAUUUCUAUUUUUAUAUAAACACAACUUGGUUAUAGUCUUUUAGUUCGUAAUAACAGUUUAGAAUUUAAUCCCUUGUAUUUAGCAAUUUCCUGCACAUCGCCAGAAAUUAGAAAUGGAUAUUCUAUAUCUCAGAAGAAAAUUUAUAAGGAGAAUGAAAGAUUUCAAUAUAAAUGUAAUCAAGGUUUUGAAUACAGUGAAAAAGGCAAUGCUAUAUGCACUAGUUCAGGAUGGAGUCCAACUCCCUCAUGUGAAGGUAAGGUUAUUUUUAUUUUCUG
rnacentral:lncRNA from 1 species